rnacentral:rRNA from 1 species
GACGAACGCUGGCGGCGUGCUUAACACAUGCAAGUCGAACGGAAAGGCCCUGCUUUUGUGGGGUGCUCGAGUGGCGAACGGGGGAGUAACACGCGAGUAACCUGCCCUUGACUUUGGGAUAACUUCAGGAAACUGGGGCUAAUACCGGAUAGGAGCUCCUGCUGCAUGGUGGGGGUUGGAAAGUUUCGGCGGUUGGGGAUGGACUCGCGGCUUAUCAGCUUGUUGGUGGGGUAGUGGCUUACCAAGGCUUUGACGGGUAGCCGGCCUGAGAGGGUGACCGGCCACAUUGGGACUGAGAUACGGCCCAGACUCCUACGGGAGGCAGCAGUGGAGAAUAUUGCACAAUGGGCGGGAGCCUGAUGCAGCAACGCCGCGUGCGGGAUGACGGCCUUCGGGUUGUAAACCGCUUUCGCCUGUGACGAAGCGUGAGUGACGGUAAUGGGUAAAGAAGCACCGGCUAACUACGUG